rnacentral:rRNA from 1 species
UACGUAGGUGACGAGCGUUGUCCGGAUUUACUGGGCGUAAAGAGCGCGCAGGCGGUCGUUCAAGUCGAGUGUGAAAGCCCCCGGCUCAACUGGGGAGGGUCAUUCGAUACUGAUCGACUUGAAGGCAGGAGAGGGAAGUGGAAUUCCGGGUGUAGUGGUGAAAUGCGUAGAUAUCCGGAGGAACACCAGUGGCGAAGGCGACUUCCUGGCCUGUUCUUGACGCUGAGGCGCGAAAGCUGGGGGAGCAAACGGG